rnacentral:misc_RNA from 1 species
GCCGCAUUUAUUGAGAGAACUUCACAAAUUUGUGGUCGUAAAUGUUGAGUUUGAGUUACUAAGAUAUUAUGACUUACAACUUUUGACAAACACCAAACUGAACAUAAUUUUACAUCACUGCCAUGUAUAUAUGUUAUAAUUGUAACAAGUAAUAUAAAGACAUUCAAGCAAAAUUAUCAACAUUACAAUCAACAAGUAUAAAUUUCAUGCAAUACCAUCAUAUUACAAUCACCUUCCAUCCUUUGCCUUGAAAGAAUAAUUCAUCAUUGUUGAUUCCGCCUCCAGACCCCAGUAGGAAGAGGGAAAUUGACUACUUGGUUACAGAAGCUAACCUCUGCAUAGCAUAAUAAAGGCAUCGCAUCUCUCAACUUGCUCCAGUCCAUCUUUAGGUGUGGCAACAACCUCAAACACAAACCCUCCAACUUCCAAGUCGUUUCACUUAAGCAAAUGUCGACCAGGCGUCCUUCCUCUAUGCAAAGAUAUUCUAAAUUAGGAAGCAUCUCAGGACUAACCCAUCUUGGCAAUUUUUCAUGAUUGUAAGCCCUAAGAUACAGCUUCUUAAGGUGAGGCGGAGGUAAAAGUGGAUCUAGCAUCUUUUGCAUUGUUGUACCUUCCAUCCCUUCAGAGUCAAAAUCAAUGGCUAAAAGCUUGAGUUUCUUGAGUUUUGACAGGACACCACAUUCCUUCUCUGUUAUUUCACUGUUAUUGCUCAAACUCAUUCGCAAUACUCUUAACUCGGUUAGGCCUUCAAGCUCAAGAAGUUGACAACUUCUUCUGUUUGCCUGACGAAUCAGUUUCAGUCCAGAUAUUUGUUGAAGCUGGGACAGCCUGCCUAGUCCACGAGGCAGGUAUGGAAGCAAUUGGCAAGAGCUUAAGUCCAAGACUACCAGACUCUUCAAAAAAGUGACUGAAGGUCUUAUUUUGUAUAGCUUAUGGCAUCCAAUUAAAACUAAGAGCUGGAGGUUCUGGAGUUUGCAAAUGGAAUCCGGCAAUUCUUCAAGGCCCUCGGCUCUACUUAGAUUUAGAUAUGCAAGGCGUUUGAGAGAACUAAUCCAACUCAAGAGUCUAUUUAAAGUGAUUUUGUCGAACUUAUUGUCUGACAAGUCAAGUGCCCUGAGUGAGUGGAGUGAAACCAAAUUCAUGGGAGGUUGGCUGCCAGUCACCUGCAGCAAUGCUCUGAGCUUUGUAUUUCUGUUUAAUGAUUGCGCAUCCAUUUCGCUCGUGAAUCCUAACCAUGGAGAAUAUUCAUUUAAUUUUUGUAUGCCCUUGCUAUCAAAGGUGGAAAGUUUCUCCUCUUGUGCCAUCAUAAGGGUCAAGU